UAAGGAAUAUUGGACAAUGCCCGCAAGGGUGAUCCAGCCAUGCCGCGUGCAGGAAGACGGCCCUAUGGGUUGUAAACUGCUUUUACACCGGAGAAAACCUCCCCUCGUGAGGGGAGCUGAUAGUAUGGUGAGAAUAAGCAUCGGCUAACUUCGUGCC
rnacentral:rRNA from 1 species